UACGGAGGGGGCUAGCGUUGUUCGGAAUUACUGGGCGUAAAGCGCACGUAGGCGGCUUUGUAAGUUAGAGGUGAAAGCCCAGGGCUUAACCCUGGAAUUGCCUUUAAGACUGCAUCGCUAGAAUCGUGGAGAGGUGAGUGGAAUUCCGAGUGUAGAGGUGAAAUUCGUAGAUAUUUCGGAAGAACACCAGUGGCGAAGGCGACUCACUGGACACGUAUUGACGCUGAGGUGCGAAAAGCGUGGGGAGCAAACAGG
rnacentral:rRNA from 1 species